GUGUUCAAGUUUUUAAGGGCAUACGGUGGAUGCCUUGGCAUCAGGAGCCGAUGAAGGACGUGGGAGCCUGCGAUAUGCCUCGGGGAGUCGGCAACCAGACUUUGAUCCGGGGAUUUCCGAAUGGGGUAACCUGGCACUCGUCAUGGGGUGUCGCCGCCGUCUGAAUGUAUAGGGCGGUUGGUGGGAACGCGGGGAAGUGAAACAUCUCAGUACCCGCAGGAAGAGAAAACAAUUGUGAUUCCGUGAGUAGUGGUGAGCGAAAGCGGAGGAGCCUAAACCGUGCGCGUGUGAUACCUGGUAGGGGUUGCGUGUGCGGGGUUGUGGGAGCAUCCGGCUGGGUCUACCAGUCCAGCAGAGAGUUACAAAAUAUCAUGGUAGUCGAACGGCUUGGGAUGGCCGACCGUAGACGGUGAGAGUCCGGUAGACGAAACUGUGGUGUCUCUUGGGUGUGUUCCCCGAGUAGCACGGGGCCCGUGAAAUCCCCGUGUGAAUCUGCCACGACCACGUGGUAAGGCUGAAUACUUCCUGAUGACCGAUAGCGGACCAGUACCCGUGAGGGAAAGGUGAAAAGUGCCCCGGUGAGGGGUCGUGAAAGUAGUACCUGAAACCCGUGUGCCUACAAGCCGUCAGAGCUGGGUUAAUGCCCUUUCGGGGUGUCGGGUUGGUGAUGGCGUGCCUUUUGAAGAAUGAGCCUGCGAGUUAUGGUGUGUGGCCAAGGUUAACCGGUGGCGGGUAGCCGUAGCGAAAGCGAGUCUGAAUAGGGCGUUUUUAGUCGCAUGCUGUAGACCCGAAGCGGGGUGAUCUAGCCAUGGGCAGGGUGAAGCGCCGGUAAGACGGUGUGGAGGCCCGAACCCACCAGGGUUGAAAACCUGGGGGAUGACCUGUGGUUAGGGGUGAAAGGCCAAUCAAACUCCGUGAUAGCUGGUUCUCCCCGAAAUGCAUUUAGGUGCAGCGUUGCGUGUUGCUUGCCGGAGGUAGAGCUACUGGAUGGCUGAUGGGCCCGACAAGGUUACUGACGUCAGCCAAACUCCGAAUGCCGGUAAGUGAGAGCGUGGCAGUGAGACUGCGGGGGAUAAGCUUCGUAGUCGAGAGGGAAACAGCCCAGAUCAUCGGUUAAGGCCCCUAAGCGUGUGCUAAGUGGGAAAGGAUGUGGAGUUGCUGUGACAACCAGGAGGUUGGCUUAGAAGCAGCCAUCCUUGAAAGAGUGCGUAAUAGCUCACUGGU
rnacentral:rRNA from 1 species